rnacentral:rRNA from 1 species
AUUGAACGCUGGCGGCAGGCCUAACACAUGCAAGUCGAACGAGUGGCGGACGGGUGAGUAAUGUCUGGGAAACUGCCCGAUGGAGGGGGAUAACUACUGGAAACGGUUGCUAAUAACGCAUACCAUCGGAUGUUCCCAGGUGGGAUUAGCUAGUUGGUGGGGUAACGGCUCACCUAGGCGACGAUCCGUAGCUGGUCUGAGAGGAUGACACGCCACACUGGAACUGAGACACGGCCCAGACUCCUACGGGAGGCAGCAGGAGGGAAUCGUGCACAAUGGGCGCAAGCCUGAUGCAGCCAUGCCGCGUGUGUGAAGAAGGCCUUCGGAUUGUAAAGUACUGUCAGCGGGGAAGCGGUACUCGCAGAAGAAGCAACGGCUAACUCCGUGCCAGCAGCCGCGGUAAUUC